UCGGUUCCUUCCGGGAAAAUCAUCAUCGAAAACUUGUAGGAUAAAUCGAUGAAGUAAUCGAGGACGUUUUUGAUCCGUUCUUUGUCAAUCAUCCAAUCUCUUUUGAGGCUUGGUUCAAAGAUGUAACAGCACCUGUUUCUUGGAGUGUUGUGUAUUGAGAAUGGUCGUGUUACAACACAAAACGUUUUGAUAUAAACUUUUCUCACAACGAAACUCGGCUUGCAACGUUCGAAGUAGGGGUAUAGAAAGGUUAAGACUCGAUGGUUCAAUGUUCGCAUAAGAUUGGAGCUAGCAGGAGUCCAAACACUUAGAUUUAAGGAGUCACCCAGUGAGGAAUCAUUUUUAACAACAUUUAUGGAAUAUUCUAAAAUUAAUGUUGAUUGUAGACCACGGAUCGUAAAGAUUUAAGGAGUCACCCAAUAAGGAAUCAUUUUUAACAACAUUUAUAGAACAUUCUAAAGUUAAUGUUGAUUGUAGACCACGGAUCGUAAAGAUUUAAGGAGUCACCCAAUAAGAAAUCAUUUUUUACAACAUUUAUGGAACAUUCUAAAGUUAAUGUUGCAUCUAGACCGCGGAUUGUA